AUUGAACGCUGGCGGCAGGCUUAACACAUGCAAGUCGAGCGGAGCGAGGGUGCUUGCACCUUAGCUUAGCGGCGGACGGGUGAGUAAUGCUUAGGAAUCUGCCUAUUAGUGGGGGACAACAUUCCGAAAGGAAUGCUAAUACCGCAUACGUCCUACGGGGGAAAGCAGGGGAUCUUCGGACCUUGCGCUAAUAGAUGAGCCUAAGUCGGAUUAGCUAGUUGGUGGGAUAAAGGCCUACCAAGGCGACGAUCUGUAGCGGGUCUGAGAGGAUGAUCCGCCACACUGGGACUGAGACACGGCCCAGACUCCUACGGGAGGCAGCAGUGGGGAAUAUUGGACAAUGGGCGGAAGCCUGAUCCAGCCAUGCCGCGUGUGUGAAGAAGGCCUUUUGGUUGUAAAGCACUUUAAGCGAGGAGGAGGCUACUUAGAUUAAUACUCUGGGAUAGUGGACGUUACUCGCAGAAUAAGCACCGGCUAACUCUGUGCCAGCAGCCGCGGUAA
rnacentral:rRNA from 1 species